rnacentral:rRNA from 1 species
ACUCAAAUGAAUAGACGGGGGCCCGCACAAGCAGUGGAUUAUGUGGUUUAAUUCGAAGCAACGCGAAGAACCUUACCAGGGCUUGACAUCCUGCUAACGAGAUAGAGAUAUGUCAGGUGCCCUUCGGGGAAAGCAGAGACAGGUGGUGCAUGGUUGUCGUCAGCUCGUGUCGUGAGAUGUUGGGUUAAGUCCCGCAACGAGCGCAACCCCUAUUGUUAGUUGCUACGCGAGAGCACUCUAGCGAGACUGCCGUUCAUAAAGCGGAGGAAGGUGGGGACGACGUCAAAUCAUCAUGCCCCUUAUGUCCUGGGCUACACACGUAAUACAAUGGCGUUUUAACAGAGGGAAGCGAAGCCGCGAGGCGGAGCAAAUCCCGAAAAGGCGUCCCAGUUCGGAUCGCAGGCUGCAACCCGCCUGCGUGAAGUCGGAAUUGCUAGUAAUCGCGGAUCAUCAUGCCGCGGUGAAUACGUUCCCGGGCCUUGCACACACCGCCCGU